rnacentral:lncRNA from 1 species
UGACAAUGGGGGGGAUGGUGAUUAUGGGUGACAAUGGGGAUGGUGAUUAUGGGGUGGUGACAAUGGGGGGGUGACAACGGAGGGGUGGUGACAGUGGGAUGUGGUGACAGAUGUGACAAUGGGGAUGGCAACCAUGGGUGACAAUGGGGAUGGGGACAAUGGGAUGGCGACAAUGGGGUGGUAUCAAUGGGGAUGGGGACAAUGGGGACAGCGACAAUGGGGGGGUUGUCGACAAUGGGGGGUGGUGACAGUGGGGGGUGGUGACAGUGGGACGUGGUGACAGUGGGACGUGGUGACAGAGGUGACAAUGGGGGAUGGUGAUUAUGGGUGACAAUGGGGAUGGUGACAACGGGGGGGUGACAACGGGGGGGUGGUGACAGUGGGAUGUGGUGACAGAUGUGAUAAUGGGGAGUGGUGACAAUGGGUGACAAUGGGGAUGGUGACAAUGGGAUGGUGACAAUGGGUGACAAUGGGGAUGGGGACAAUGGGGACAGCGACAAUGGGGGGUGGUGACAGUGGGAUGUGGUGACAGAGGUGACAAUGGGGGAUGGUGAUUAUGGGUGACAAUGGGGAUGGUGACAAUGGGGUGGUGACAAUGGGGGGGUGACAACGGGGGGGUGGUGACAGUGGGACAUGGUGACAGAUGUGACAAUGGGGAGUGGUGACAAUGGGUGACAAUGGGGAUGGUGACAAUGGGAUGGCGACCAUGGGGUGGUAUCAAUGGGGACGGGGACAAUGGGGACAGCGACAAUGGGGGGGUGGCGACAAUGGGGGGUUGGUGACAAUGGGGGGUGGUGACAGUGGGGGCUGGUGACAGUGGGACGUGGUGACAGUGGGAUGUGGUGACAGAGGUGACAAUGGGGGAUGGUGAUUAUGGGUGACAAUGGAGAUGGUGACAAUGGGGUGGUGACAAUGGGGUGGUGACAACGGGGGGGUGACAACAGGGGGGUGGUGACAGUGGGAUGUGGUGACAGAUGUGACAAUGGGGAUGGCAACCAUGGGUGACAAUGGGGAUGGGGACAAUGGGAUGGCGACCAUGGGUGACAAUGGGGACGGGGACAAUGGGGACAGCGACAAUGGGGGGUGGUGACAGUGGGAUGUGGUGACAGAGGUGACAAUGGGGGAUGGUGAUUAUGGGUAACAAUGGGGAUGGUGACAACGGGGGGGUGACAAUGGGGGGGUGGUGACAGUGGGACAUGGUGACAGAUGUGACAAUGGGGAGUGGUGACAAUGGGUGACAAUGGGGAUGGUGACAAUGGGGUGGUAUCAAUGGGGACGGGGACAAUGGGGACAGCGACAAUGGGGGGGUGGCGACAAUGGGGGGGUGGCGACAAUGGGGGGUGGUGACAGUGGGGGGUGGUGACAGUGGGACGUGGUGACAGUGGGACGUGGUGACAGAG